UACAGAGGUCCCAAGCGUUGUUCGGAUUCAUUGGGCGUAAAGCGUGUGUAGGCGGCCACGUAAGUCGGAUGUGAAAGCCCCAGGCUCAACCUGGGAAGUGCACUCGAUACUGCGUGGCUUGAGUAUCGGAGAGGUUGGUGGAAUUCUCGGUGUAGAGGUGAAAUUCGUAGAUAUCGAGAGGAACACCGGUGGCGAAGGCGGCCAACUGGACGAAUACUGACGCUGAGACACGAAAGCGUGGGGAGCAAACAGG
rnacentral:rRNA from 1 species